AACGAACGCUGGCGGCAUGCCUAACACAUGCAAGUCGAACGAGACCUUCGGGCCUAGUUGCGCACGGGUGCGUAACGCCUGGUAACUUGCCCUUAGGUUCGGAACAACUCCCCGAAAGGGGUGUUAAUACCGGUUAAUCUCAUCGGACCAAAGAUUUAUCGCGUUUGGCUGGGCCCGCGUUGGUUUAGCGAGUUGGUAGGGUAAUAGCCUGCCAAGGCGACGAUCCAUAGCUGGUCGGUGAGGAUGCUCAGCCGCACUGGGGCUGAGGCACGGACCAGACUCCUACGGAGGGGAGGAGUAGAGUAUAUUGGGGGAUGGGCGAUGGCCUGGUAAAGCAGUGCCGGGUGUGUGAGGAAGGCCUUAGGAUUGCAAAGCUCUUUUAGCCGAGGUGAUAAUGACAGUAACGGGAGAAUAAGCACCGGCUAACUACGUG
rnacentral:rRNA from 1 species